rnacentral:misc_RNA from 1 species
GAUGAAGAACGUAGCGAAAUGCGAUAAGUAAUGUGAAUUGCAGAAUUCAGUGAAUCAUCGAAUCUUUGAACGCAUCUUGCGCUCCUUGGUAUUCCUUGGAGCAUGCCUGUUUGAGUAUCAUGAGCAAAUCUCAAAGUCAAUUCCUUUUGUUGAUUCAAUUGGUUUUGCUUUGGACUUGGAGGCCUUGCAGAUUUCACAGUCUGCUCCUCUUAAAUGCAUUAGCUGGAUCUCAGUAAUUGUGCUUGGUUCCACUCGGCGUGAUAAGUAUCACUCGCUGAGGACACUGUUAAAAAGGUGGCCAGGAAAAUACUGAUUGAACCGCUUCUAACGGUCUAUUAAGUUAGACAAUUACCCUUAAGUUUGAUCUCAAAUCAGGUAGGACUACCCGCUGAACUUAAGCAUAUCAAUAAGCGGAGGA